UACAGGGGGGGCAAGCGUUGUUCGGAAUUACUGGGCGUAAAGGGCUCGUAGGUGGCCAACUAAGUCAGACGUGAAAUCCCUCAGCUUAACUGGGGAACUGCGUCUGAUACUGGAUGGCUUGAGUUUGGGAGAGGGAUGCGGAAUUCCAGGUGUAGCGGUGAAAUGCGUAGAUAUCUGGAGGAACACCGGUGGCGAAGGCGGCUUUCUGGUCUGUAACUGACGCUGAGGCGCGAAAGCGUGGGGAGCAAACAGG
rnacentral:rRNA from 1 species